GGGUAGUGGCUGGAUUCUAUGAGUAGAGCUUUUCCUUUUCUUGUCUUCUUCUAUCUUUCCGCUGAGCCAACCGCUAUCAUUGGAUGUGGUCGUGCUUAGACUGCUAUAGGCUGGAAUCAGCAUCAUCGGACCUAAGUGGUAGCUGCCCAACUCUUCUCUUUUCUCUCUCUUCUCUUUCUCUCACAUCUAUAUUUUUUCUUUCUCUACAAUAGUGGACCAUUGGUGGGUCCUAAGAUGUUUUGUGGGUUCAAGUCGACCCUAAGAGAGGUCUCAAAUUGGUGUUGUGUGAUUAGGGG
rnacentral:lncRNA from 1 species